rnacentral:rRNA from 1 species
GAUGAACGCUGGCGGCGUGCCUAAUACAUGCAAGUCGAGCGAACGGACGAGAGGCUUGCUUCUCUGAUGUUAGCGGCGGACGGGUGAGUAACACGUGGAUAACCUACCUAUAAGACUGGGAUAACUUCGGGAAACCGGAGCUAAUACCGGAUAAUAUUUUGAACCGCAUGGUUCAAAAGUGAAAGACGGUCUUGCUGUCACUUAUAGAUGGAUCCGCGCUGCAUUAGCUAGUUGGUAAGGUAACGGCUUACCAAGGCAACGAUGCAUAGCCGACCUGAGAGGGUGAUCGGCCACACUGGAACUGAGACACGGUCCAGACUCCUACGGGAGGCAGCAGUAGGGAAUCUUCUGCAAUGGGCGAAAGCCUGACGGAGCAACGCCGCGUGAGUGAUGAAGGUCUUCGGAUCGUAAAACUCUGUUAUUAGGGAAGAACAUAUGUGUAAGUAACUGUGCACAUCUUGACGGUACCUAAUCAGAAAGCCACGGCUAACUACGUG